rnacentral:rRNA from 1 species
UGGGGAAUAUUGGGCAAUGGGCGAAAGCCUGACCCAGCAACGCCGCGUGAAGGAAGAAGGCCUUCGGUUGUAAACUUCUUUUAAGAGGGACGAAGGACGUGACGGUACCUCUUGAAUAAGCCACGGCUAACUACGUGCCAGCAGCCGCGGUAAUACGUAGGUGGCGAGCGUUAUCCGGAUUUACUGGGUGUAAAGGGCGCGUAGGCGGGAAUGCAAGUCAGAUGUGAAAUCUAGGGGCUUAACCCCUAAACUGCAUUUGAAACUGUAUUUCUUGAGUGUCGGAGAGGUUGACGGAAUUCCUAGUGUAGCGGUGAAAUGCGUAGAUAUUAGGAGGAACACU